ACUCCUUUCCCUUUCUCUCCUGUUCCAUAUUCCUGUUUGUUUAAAAAAAAACAAAACAAAAAAACGUAGCCGCCUGUACUGUGGACCUUGAACUUGAACCUUGCCUGGCACCUAGUUGCCAUGGCAGAUUCUCCCUUUUCCCCAGGGUUUAGUUCAUUGCUUAAAAACAGUAUAUUGCUUCUACGUACAUGGGUUCUUUUCUCUGCCCCUUCUGAACUUCAUUGUAGUCAGCAAGAGAGAGGGUUGUUUUUUUGUUUUGUUUUCCAGUUUACGUAUUAGGUGGAGUUUUUACAGACGCAAGAAAUGGCCCUUGGGGGAAAGUCGAGUGAUAGCGAGAGAGAGCAAAAGAGCAGGUUCUUUGCUGUGCAACUGGAGCCACAAAACUCAUGAAGAAUUAGUUGGGACUCCCUGAAGAGUCAGGUGACAGAACUGCUGAAUUGAUCAUUCCUGGAAGUUGGGGGGAGAGAGAGGUCUUAAUGACAUUUGCUGUCCUGAAUCUACGUUUCCCCCAAGCUGUGUCUCUGAGUUGGUCUUCCUCUGCAAAGAGAUGAUCCCUAACUGAUGGAUUUAAGACAAAGAAAGGGAAGAACCACCACUUAACUCCCAGCCUCUUCAGGAGAAGUGAGAGUCAGCUCCAGUGCUGGAGGCAGGUUUCUGGUUUGGGGACUGUAUGGCAGAUGAGUAAGGAUAAGAAUAUUCAAAGUCCAGACAGAGGCUUUUUUUCCUCUUCGUGUUUCACUCUUUUCCAUUGGCAAAUCUCCCUCAACUCCACACAGCUGGUGUUUGACACUUGUCUGUGUAGUACAACCUCCCCAGGCUGGAGCAGUCAUGAUAGAAAGGGACAGGGAGAGCACCAGUUACUUCUCUUACUGCAUGAAUUAUGGUGACGCUUUGCAAACUGAGGCCCUAUUAGACCUGCAUGGACAGCCAGUGUUCUGUGGCAAUUUUCUUACAAGAAGGGUUUAUUCCUGUGUCCUUGGCCAAAUUUCCCCAGUGCAGCGGGCUUUGCACUUGUUGGCUGUCACCUUCAGUGCUAGCUGAUGCUCUACUAUACACAAGAAAUACACCUUAUUCAUGCCUCGCGGAAGACACGUAAUCUGAGCGGCUUUUGCCAGUCACAAAAGGCGAACUUGCCAGAACCAAAUCUUAUUUAUGACCUUUAAACACUGGUUGCCAAAGGUGACCUUUGCCUUUUUGGCUUUAGGCUGUGUUCCAAAUCUGAUUUUUAAUAAGUCUGUUUGCAUGGAAAGGAACCAUUCAUCCGUGUCUAUAUUAUGCUCACUUUCACUAACGGAAAAUGCUCUCUAGAAUGCUGUGGAAAGACCUGGAUCAAAAAAAAGCCUAACUUAUCUGACUGCUAUUUACACCUGGACCAAGGAGUUGGAGAGACCGUACAGCUGUUUAUAAGCAAACUCUUUUCUGUGGUAUUAUGUUUCGCCCUUAAAAAGUCAGCCUGUGAAAGAGUCGCACAAUAAAUGUCCUUUGUAAAGCCCUUACUGAUAUGAAACAGAUCCACAACGGGGCUAGUGCCUACUUUACACACAACGUACCUUAUUCAUGCCUGCUGGGGUGGAACUCAUAUAGCAAUAGGCCCUGACAUCAAGGUGUUGGUGUCACAGUGCACGGUGAGGCAUGAGACUUCACAAUUUCAUAUGGUUUUCAAGCCAAAUUAACAUCUUUUUACAACAUUUCUCAAAAUCACAAUCAUAGAAUCAUAGAAUAUAAGGGUUGGAAGGGACCCCAGAAGGUCAUCUAGUCCAACCCCCUGCUCAAAGCAGGACCAAUUCCCAGUUAAAUCAUCCCAGCCAGGGCUUUGUCAAGCCUGACCUUAAAAACCUCUAAGGAAGGAGAUUCUACCACCUCCCUAGGUAACGCAUUCCAGUGCUUCACCACCCUCAUAGUGAAAAAGUUUUUCCUAAUAUCCAAUCUAAACCUC